AGCCUGCGGCCUGACGGGCGAGGCGCCCGGUCUCGAACCGGACGGUGCGGGUGCCGAAGCGACCGUUGUCGAUCGUGGCCUCGGCGAACUG
rnacentral:tRNA from 1 species